UACAGAGGGGGCAAGCGUUAUUCGGAAUUAUUGGGCGUAAAGGGCGCGUAGGCGGCCUGACAAGUGGAAGGUGAAAUCCCUCGGCUUAACCGAGGAACUGCCCUCCAAACUGUUUGGCUUGAGACCGGGAGAGGUGAGUGGAAUUCCCAGUGUAGCGGUGAAAUGCGUAGAUAUUGGGAGGAACACCAGUGGCGAAGGCGGCUCACUGGACCGGUACUGACGCUGAGGCGCGAAAGCGUGGGGAGCGAACAGG
rnacentral:rRNA from 1 species